rnacentral:rRNA from 1 species
GUGAGGAAUAUUGGUCAAUGGGCGAGAGCCUGAACCAGCCAAGUCGCGUGAAGGAAGAAGGAUCUAUGGUUCGUAAACUUCUUUUGCAGGGGAAUAAAGUGCGGGACGUGUCCUGUUUUGUAUGUACCCUGAGAAUAAGGAUCGGCUAACUCCGUGCCAGCAGCCGCGGUAAUACGGAGGAUCCGAGCGUUAUCCGGAUUUAUUGGGGUACAAGGGUGCGUAGGUGGUUUGAUAAGUCAGCGGUGAAAGUUUGCAGCUUAACUGUAAAAAUGCCGUUGGAACUGUCGGACUUGAGUGUAAAUGAGGUAGGCGGAAUGCGUGGUGUAGCGCUGAAAUGCAUAGAUAUCACGCAGAACUCCGAUUGCGAAGGCAGCUUACUAAGCUACAACUGACACUGAAGCACGAAAGCGUGGGGAUCAAACAGGAUUAGAUACCCCGGUAGUCC